GGGCAUGUGCUGGACAGGUGGGUGCCUCUGGCAUGGGCCUGGGACACUCACCUCCCAGGUACAGGGUGGCCAUCUGGGGUGGGAGGGUGAGUGGAGCAGCUGAGAUACCCUCACAAAGCAGUUGCUGCAGGGUUCUGGGGCAUCCCUGCCUCCCGCUGCCUUGGCCGUGCCUGGAGAAUUGGAUGUGAAGACAGUAGUUAGUGGAUAGACCUGCAUGUUGACAAAUUUAGAAUUCUCAUCUCGAGUGGGAUCGUCCCUUGUUGAGGCUUAUUUCUGUAUUUUUGUGACACACAAGUGAGGAAAUGU
rnacentral:lncRNA from 1 species